rnacentral:rRNA from 1 species
GACGUAGGGCGCGAGCGUUGUCCGGAUUUAUUGGGCGUAAAGAGCUCGUAGGCGGCUUGUUGCGUCGACUGUGAAAACCUGCGGCUCAACCGUGUGGUCUGCAGUCGAUACGGGCAGGCUGGAGUUCGGUAGGGGAGACUGGAAUUCCUGGUGUAGCGGUGAAAUGCGCAGAUAUCAGGAGGAACACCGGUGGCGAAGGUGGGUCUCUGGGCCGAUACUGACGCUGAGGAGCGAAAGCGUGGGGAGCGAACAGG